UGGGCGAAAGCCUGACGCAGCGACGCCGCGUGAGGGAUGAAGGUCCGUUAGGGUUGUAAAGCUCUUUACGCCCGCGACGAUGAUGACGGUAGCGGGAGAAGAAGCCCCGGCUAAUUCCGUGCCAGCAGCCGCAGUAAUACGGAAGGGGCGAGCGUUGUUCGGAAUCACUGGGCGUAAAGCGCGCGUAGGCGGCUUGGCAAGUGCGGCGUGAAAGUCCUGGGCUCAACCUGGGGACGGCGCUGCGGACUGCCUGGCUGGAGUCCGGAAGAGGGUGGUGGAAUUCCGAGUGUAGAGGUGAAAUUCGUAGAUAUUCGGAGGAACACCGGUGGCGAAGGCGGCCACCUGGUCCGGCACUGACGCUCAAGCGCGAAAGCGUGGGGAGCAAACAGGAUUAGAUACCCUGGUAGUCCACGCCGUAAACGAUGGGUGCUAGAUGUCGGGGGGCUUGCCCUUCGGUGUCGGAGCUAACGCGUUAAGCACCCCGCCUGGGGAGUACGGCCGCAAGGUUA
rnacentral:rRNA from 1 species